GGAUUUCAGUGCCCAGCUCUACUGGGACACUCAGCUGCUGAACGACUUCUUAAUGGGUGCCUUUGUCAUUGUCCUCAAGGCUUCCAUCACUGCUUCUGGAUGGUGACUUCAUAUUGCAGUCAUUAUGCAAAAUUCCUUCUUGAUAUGGUUAAAGUGGUUCAUUAGAGAGAGGCAAGGUGAGAGUGUGUUCACCACAUGCCUGCUGCUUUUACAAAUGAGGUAAAAAUGAAUUUCUUGUGAUGCUGAGUACUGAGUUUGGUGUGGAGUCAAAUAAACUCUGCUCUCUGACCCUUGCUAAGAGCUGAGACAUCCAAUGGCCUGGCUCAUGCUGGCCUCAGGGACUCCAGUUAUCCCUCUCUGUGUCCUAGUGAUGGGAAGGAUCUGAUCAUCAACUGUGGGAACAAAAAACAGUAACUAAUGUUUAUUUUCUACUUAGGCUGAGCUCCUGCAAGCUAAUUUACACCUUUAUUCUUCACUUGCUUUCCUGGCAGCAGGAUCUGCAUAUAAAGCUCCUUCCUCUGCACUGCUUUCACCCACAAGUCUGAUUGAAUUGCACAUUGCAGAAUGCAGUGUGUGGAGGGCAUGCACAGCACCAGUGUGAGCAGGUGUCCCCCAUGUUGGAUGAGCUGGUGCAGCUGCAGAGAUUUGCAUCUUUUCCAUUUGUAUGGAAUGUACCUGUUGCUGCCAUCUCCCUAUAACAGAGGGCUAUCUCUUCGGUAUCCUCAGGAUUUGCAGCAAAAAGAACACAUGGAAAAUGAAAACGUGGAGAGGAACUGGUUUUGAAUUGGACAAGCAGAAGCAAGCAAAUGAAAGCAGCAAAAUGCUCUUGAAAGGAAGAAAAUGACAACCGUGGGGUGUGUGAUUCGUUCCCUGGCUGAUGCCUCUCUGAGCAUGCAAUGGCACUGAGCCACCCGAAAGCAGCAGCGAUGCAGGCG
rnacentral:lncRNA from 1 species